rnacentral:rRNA from 1 species
CACGCCGUAAACGCUGAUUACUAGGUGUAGGGGGUAUAGACUCCCUCUGUGCCGCAGUUAACGCAUUAAGUAAUCCACCUGGGGAGUACGGCCGCAAGGUUAAAACUCAAAGGAAUUGACGGGGACCCGCACAAGCAGUGGAGUAUGUGGUUUAAUUCGACGCAACGCGAAGAACCUUACCAAGGCUUGACAUCCUCUGACCGCUGUAGAAAUACAGCUUCUCUUCGGAGCAGAGAGACAGGUGG